AUUGGAACGCUGGCGGCAUGCCUUACACAUGCAAGUCGAACGAGAAAGUGCCUUCGGGCGCGAGUAAAGUGGCGGACGGGUGAGUAACGCGUAGGAAUCUACCUGGUAGUGGGGGAUAACUCGGGGAAACUCGAGCUAAUACCGCAUACGCUCUACGGAGGAAAGAGGGCCUCUAUUUAUAAGCUCUCGUUAUCAGAGGAGCCUGCGUUGGAUUAGCUAGUUGGUAAGGUAAGGCUUACCAAGGCGACGAUCCAUAGCUGGUCUGAGAGGACGAUCAGCCACACUGGAACUGAGACACGGUCCAGACUCCUACGGGUGGCAG
rnacentral:rRNA from 1 species